UCCUACGGGGGGCAGCAGUGAGGAAUAUUGGUCAAUGGGCGCGAGCCUGAACCAGCCAAGUAGCGUGAAGGAUGACUGCCCUACGGGUUGUCAACUUCUUUUAUAAAGGAAUGAAGUGAGGCACGUGUGCCUUUUUGUAUGUACUCUAUGAAUAAGGAUCGGCUAACUCCGUGCCAGCAGCCGCGGUAAUACAGAGGAUCCGAGCGUUAUCCGGAUUUAUUGGGUUUAAAGGGAGCGUAGAUGGGUUGUUAAGUCAGUUGUGAAAGUUUGCGGCUCAACCGUAAAAUUGCGAUUGAUACUGGCAG
rnacentral:rRNA from 1 species